rnacentral:lncRNA from 1 species
AAUGUGCAGGUCAUUGCUUAAAAUGAGCCAGGUUCACACAGGCAGGAUGUCUGAGUGAGCACCCAGGCCAUUGUGUUUCCGUGAGAAGCCAUGCAUCUGGACAGCUGACCAAGCAGAACAGGUAGCUGGACUCUGACCUGCUCGGGAUCCCAAGCUUUUGGAUGUAUUUGAUUUAUUUCUUGACAAGCUUGAGUCUAGCUCAUGGGCAAGAAACAAAGAUGACACCCGAGGGUAGAACUCUAUUCAAAAGAUGCAGGGAAACCCAGCACUGCCUAUUUUCAGAGCUUUGUCCACCUCGGUGACGCGGAUAAGACCUGGAGAGAAAGCCAGAGAGAAAGGGGCCAAACCUUGCCUUUGGGGUUGGCCUAAUCUGUUUCAAGUAUAAAGCAUGCAGUGUGAGGAGGGGGACAGUGAUAAUGGCUUGACACUUGGUUCUGCAUGUCGUCUUCGAUACCUAUUUUAUCUUUCUCUGUGCUGGAUCUGGAGAGGCCCAGUCUGCUUGCCAGCCUUAAGAACCACAGAAGCAUAUAGCAUUAACAAGUCUCCCCAAACCCCUUCUCAGGCGAGCUGGAACAUCCAGGCUCAGUAACUUGUCUCUGACUUCAGGUUAUUUGCUUCCUCAUAGGUCAGCUGGAAACUCCUGUGUACAGUCCACAUGGGGGGAGAGAAAUAUUAUCACUCUCUGAAGUCUGUGUGUGCCUGUAGAUAUGUGUCAAAAGCAAUUUCCUGGAGGUGGACUCCAGGGGCAAGCCCACACAAACAUCUCUGGGUUUCAUCGAAGCAAAGCUUUUGCGAAUAUAUCUGGGUGCCAACCACAGGUCCUUUAGCCAACCGCAGGCCAUCACUGUAGUCCAAAGAUGACAUGCUCAGUAUUCAGGAAGGAAGGAGAAGGGACUUCUGGGAAUGCAGACAGGCUUUCUAACCCUCACCAGAAAGAUCCCACUGGGAACUUAAUUACCCCCUUUUUAAAGCUUCUAAAGCUAGAAACCUGACAGGCCACCGAUAUAUGACCCUGGAUUCUCACAGGCCUUCCCAUUUCCCAUGCUCCACUGCUGGGAUGAGGGGCGGGCAGAAGCAGAACUCAAGCAGCAGGCUUCUCAGAGCUUGGGAGCUCAGAGGGACCGCAGGAUGAGACAGCGUAUGUGCGGAGAAGGGUGGCGUGGUACUUGAGGGAGAGCAGCCAUGUUGUGUUGAAGAAAGUUCACCAUGACUACGUUAUUUGUUCACUCAUUUCUAGAAUGACCUUCAGUGAUGUUGUCUAUGGCCAAACCAGAUUCCUUCAGCCAGGCAUGGGAACUGGAUGAACUGGCCAGUUAGCAAGUGAAUUUCCC